ACAUAGGCGGCUCAGUUGGUACAGUGUGAGACUCUUAAUACUCAGGGUUGUGGGUUCGAGCCCUACGCUGGGCA